rnacentral:rRNA from 1 species
GGAUGCGAUCAUACCAGCACUAAAGCACCGGAUCCCAUCAGAACUUCGAAGUUAAGCGUGCUUGGGCGAGUGUAGUACUAGGAUGGGUGACCUCCUGGGAAGUCCUCGUGUUGCAUUCC